GACGAACGCUGGCGGCGUGCUUAACACAUGCCAGUCGAACGGAAAGGCCCUGCUUUUGUGGGGUGCUCGAGUGGCGAACGGGUGAGUAACACGUGAGUAACCUGCCCUUGACUUUGGGAUAACUUCAGGAAACUGGGGCUAAUACCGGAUAGGAGCUCCUGCUGCAUGGUGGGGGUUGGAAAGUUUCGGCGGUUGGGGAUGGACUCGCGGCUUAUCAGCUUGUUGGUGGGGUAGUGGCUUACCAAGGCUUUGACGGUUAGCCGGCCUGAGAGGGUGACCGGCCACAUUGGGACUGAGAUACGGCCCAGACUCCUACGGGAGGCAGCAGUGGGGAAUAUUGCACAAUGGGCGGAAGCCUGAUGCAACAACGCCGCGUGCGGGAUGACGGCCUUCGGGUUGUAAACCGCUUUCGCCUGUGACGAAGCGUGAGUGACGGUAAUGGGUAAAGAAGCACCGGCUAACUACGUG
rnacentral:rRNA from 1 species